rnacentral:snoRNA from 10 species
UGCCCCUGUCUCACUUUCCCAAUUGGAUUUAUGUCUUUAUUGGUCAUUCAAGUGGGGCAAAGGAAGUGUCCUUUUAAAACUCAAGCAAACUGGGAAUUUGUCUUACAUCUAGUCAGAGGAAACAAUA